CUAAGCCAUGCGAGUCAUUGUAGCAAUACAAGGCAGACGGCUCAGUAACGCGUAGUCAAUCUACCCUAUGGACGGGAAUAACCUCGGGAAACUGAGAAUAAUGCCCGAUAGAACAUUAUGCCUGGAAUGGUUUAUGUUUCAAAUGAUUUAUCGCCAUAGGAUGGGACUGCGGCCUAUCAGUUUGUUGGUGAGGUAAUGGCCCACCAAGACUAUUACAGGUACGGGCUCUGAGAGGAGUAGCCCGGAGAUGGGUACUGAGACACGGACCCAGGCCCUAUGGGGCGCAGCAGGCGAGAAAACUUUGCAAUGUGCGAAAGCACGACAAGGUUAAUCCGAGUGGUUUCUGCUAAAGAAACCUUUUGUCAGUCCUAGAAACACUGACGAAUAAGGGGUGGGCAAGUUCUGGUGUCAGCCGCCGCGGUAAAACCAGCACCUCAAGUGGUCAGGAUGAUUAUUGGGCCUAAAGCAUCCGUAGCUCGUUUUGUAAGUUUUCGGUUAAAUCCAUGCGCUUAACGUAUGGGCUGCCGGGAAUACUGCAUAACUAGGAAGUGGGAGAGGUAGACGGUACUCGGUAGGAAGGGGUAAAAUCCUUUGAUCUAUUGAUGACCACCUGUGGCGAAGGCGGUCUACCAGAACACGUUCGACGGUGAGGGAUGAAAGCUGGGGGAGCAAACCGGAUUAGAUACCCGGGUAGUCCCAGCUGUAAACUAUGCAAACUCAGUGAUGCAUUGGCUUGUGGCCAAUGCAGUGCUGCAGGGAAGCCGUUAAGUUUGCCGCCUGGGAAGUACGUACGCAAGUAUGAAACUUAAAGGAAUUGGCGGGGGAGCACCACAAGGGGUGAAGCCUGCGGUUCAAUUGGAGUCAACGCCAGAAAUCUUACCCGGAGAGACAGCAGAAUGAAGGUCAAGCUGAAGACUUUACCAGACAAGCUGAGAGGAGGUGCAUGGCCACUCCACAUAUGCGGUGGCGCU
rnacentral:rRNA from 1 species